rfam:Clostridium tetani E88, complete genome.
UAAUAACAUAAGCCUAAGUUUAAAACGCGGGGGAACCAUUAAUUGGGGUGAAUCACAUUUAUUUUGUGUAGGUUAGCCUUUACCGAACCCGUCAGCUAACCCCGUUGGUAAAAGGAGUGAAUAA